AUGCAGACGCAGUCCCGUCUCAUCAUGAACCCCAACGGCGGCGUAACCGGCUACGAGCCCGCGGCGACCGACGAGCAGCACGAGGCGGUGCUGAGGGAGCUGGCGCACGGGCACGAGCUGACGGCGCACCUGCAGGCGGAGGCGCUGCGGGCGCUGCACGGGCAGGGCCAGACCGAGGCCACCGCCGCAUUAAUCCUGCAGGAGGUGUCCCGCGCCUUCACCGUCUGCAUCAACAUCAUGGGCGGCUCCGCCCCGGCCGCGACCCCGACCACGCCGCCACCGGACGCGGCGGCCGUCGUCGUCACCGGCGCCGCGAGCGCGCGCCGUCCUAGAGACGACGGCGUCCCGAGAAAAGUAACAGUUACUUCCUCGCCCUACUCGGACGGGUACCAGUGGAGGAAAUACGGCCAGAAGAGGAUCAUGAGGACAAGCUUCCCAAGGUGCUACUACCGAUGCUGCUACCAUCGCGAGCGCAGCUGCCCGGCCACGAAGCUCGUGCAGCAGCAGCCGCCGCAGCAGCACAGCGACGGCGACCAGACGAUGUACACCGUCACCUACGUCCACGAGCACACGUGCCAUAACAUGGCGCCGGCCGAGCCCGAGGCGGCGGCACGUAGCUCCACGCCCGACCCGCUCGGCUUCUCUGCCGGGAUGCAGCCGAGGCAGCAGCAGCGGGGCGGCGCCGGCCUGGACCGCGGCUCCAAGGAGGAGCUCGAGCGGCAGGCGCUCGUGUCGUCCCUCGCCUGCGUGCUGCAGGGCCACCACCAGAGCUACACCGGGUCCGGGGCCGGCACGCCGGACGGAUCGCCCUCGCAGGGCCGCGUCGGCGACGGCCCGUCUGCGUCAGGUCUUUCGCUCGAUACGUCUGACGACUUGGGGUUGGACGUCAUGGACUACGGCGUGACGGACGCGCUGUAUUUCGCUGCGUCCUCAUCGUAUGGCCCAGGCGGCGACGGCAUGAUUCCUUGA
rnacentral:rRNA from 1 species